rnacentral:rRNA from 1 species
UACGGGGGGAUCAAGCGUUGUUCGGAUUUAUUGGGCGUAAAGGGUGCGUAGGCGGCGCGGUAAGUCGGGUGUGAAAUCUCGGAGCUUAACUCCGAAACUGCAUUCGAUACUGCCGUGCUUGAGGACUGGAGAGGAGACUGGAAUUUACGGUGUAGCGGUGAAAUGCGUAGAUAUCGUAAGGAAGACCAGUGGCGAAGGCGGGUCUCUGGACAGUUCCUGACGCUGAGGCACGAAGGUCAGGGGAGCAAACGGG